rnacentral:rRNA from 1 species
ACGGAAGGCAGCAGUGGGGAAUAUUGGGCAAUGGGCGAAAGCCUGACCCAGCAACGCCGCGUGAAGGAUGAAGGUCUUCGGAUUGUAAACUUCUUUUAUGAGGGACGAAGAAAGUGACGGUACCUCAUGAAUAAGCCACGGCUAACUACGUGCCAGCAGCCGCGGUAAUACGUAGGUGGCGAGCGUUAUCCGGAUUUACUGGGUGUAAAGGGCGCGUAGGCGGGGCUGCAAGUCAGAUGUGAAAUCUAUGGGCUCAACCCAUAAACUGCAUUUGAAACUGUAUCUCUUGAGUGCUGGAGAGGUAGACGGAAUUCCUAGUGUAGCGGUGAAAUGCGUAGAUAUUAGGAAGAACACCGGUGGCGAAGGCGGUCUACUGGACAGUAACUGACGCUGAGGCACGAAAGCGUGGGUAGCAAACAGGAUUAGAUACCCUGGUA